GGGAAAUCAGCAGAGCAAUGCCUAGGAGAAGGGUCCUGGUGGGGCUGGGAGCCCCCCGACUCUGGAGCUAACCCCAGAUACAGGGUUGCUUGGGAUUUCAGAAGACUGGAUGUGAUCAUACCUGUUUGGAGGAAUAACAAGAAGAUUCGAGGUGCAGGAAACACGCUGAUACAUUACUGGUCCAGUUUAACUGGAAAACUGCAGGACUAGAAACUUCUUUUGAAAUUAAAACUGAGAUCCUCAUGUAACAAAAUAACCUCGGGAGUCAGGGCUUUCUGGAGAACCUCACGCAUCUCAGUAGUCUCUUAGUGAUCUGCAGCAGCGGUCAGAAGCACUCAGGACCUCAAAAUCCUUUCAGUCCGUGAAAAGCCUGUCAGUGGCUCCAUGCAAAACAUGAUCUGGGAGGGAAGACUUGUAACCGAAGUUCUCCACUGCUGGUAUUAAUAACAAAAAGCCCGACGUGUAGCCUCUCCAACUUCCACCCGCCUCUGACAGGAUCAGGCCCUAACACGGCUUAGAGACAGAUGUUCUAGGAAGUCUCAAGUUGCUUAACAUUAUUUGUUCACACAUCCCAGCUGAUGCUAAAUCUUGUUAGAGAGGUGUUAAAUGUCUGAAGACGACAGAGGCACUAUCCAUUCCCAGAAUGAGUCACCAGGAUGGGAGAGCUGAGUCCAACUAUUACCACCCGCCAGGGCUUCCGA